ensembl:lncRNA
GGUGGCUAAUGGUACUUCUCCCUGAAUGUGCGGCUUAAACUUCCCCAAAUUACAAGACCCAGGGGCACAAUAGCUCCUUAGCUGGGCCUAGCCUGACACCUAAUUCUUAAGCUUUUCAUGUCCAGGAAAGUUCUGGAACCUUUGUAUUCUUGCCAGUACUAGAUCUGAGAGAUCUCUCUCUUGUUUAAUUACCCUCUAUAUGGAUGACAAUACUGAGGCUCAGGAUAAUACCAUGAUGCCUACUUUCUACGGAGUUUUGAGGUGCUAAGUGUGUCUGAGUCUGUGCGUGUGUGGCUGUGUCUCUGUGUGUGAUCUAAGGGACAAGUAAGGGUGCAGGAGACAGUGAGAACAAUCCCUGGGAUGAUGCUUACCCUUCCAACCGGCUGAUAGCGAGCUGCCCCCUCCACGGCGGACGCAGCCUGCCUUCCCACUCUGCCUCCAUGUCCCACACGUGCUCACACCUGUCCCGGUGCUGGCUCCUAAGAACCACACUGGACAAGGCAUUUUUGACCAUCUCCCCCAGUGUCACUUCCUCUUUAACAGGACGUGGUACAAAGCUCUUCUGCAGUCCUGUCUCUCCAUGAUGAGGACACGGACCCCGCACUCUCUCUCCUCUGGUGAACCCACGGCAGCUGGCGUGACCCACGGGCUGAAGGACUGGGCAGUUUUGCUUGGGUCUGGCCUAGAGUGUAGAGGAAGUUAGGGGUGACUAACCCGAACCAGAGAGUAUUACUUGGUUUACGCAGCCUGGGGGCCAUAGGAUGGGAACGCACUGUUCUCAGAUCCCAGCAGAGAAGGGCUGCAUGUCUUGGGGGCUGGAAGCCUUCAGGGAGAGGCCCCAGGUGGGACAUUCCCACGGGGACCUGUCUUCUGCUGGAGGGAGAGACGCCCUCUGGGAAAUGCAGGCAGUGUGGCCAUGGCCCCAUAUAUCAUACUCAGCGCCCUGGGCCAUGUGUCCGCAGAGUCCUGUAGGAGUAGAUGGUCUCAGAGGUCUCUGUCCAAGGAUUGCCGUGUUCGCCAGGCUCUGAGAAACUGCAAAUCUCCAUGGAGCUGGGGACCCGUGGGAGAGCCAGCUUAGCAAUAGUCCUGAGCUUCCAGAGCUAGUGUCCGUGUCUGAGGGGCUCCAACAGCCGGGGGGGCUGUGGAGGUCUUCUAGCUGAGAGUCACUUCGUGUUCACGGGGAGACGUGUGCUAGAGUUUGGGACCUGGCUCUCUGCUCUUCUCCUUUUGGAAAACCCAUGGAAUUUCACAUAUAAGCCUUUCAUUUGUAUCUUAAGAGUUUUGGUUUAUUUGUUUAUUUGGGGUAUAUAAAUGGUGCUCAAUAGCGAAGCCUUUCUCAGAUGAAGUGUUAUGACUGUGUGCUCCUGUGUGACAGGCAGCCGCCACAGGCAUCAUCACGGUGCUGAACUCACAUUUUAUCCUCCGAUCACAGCAAUCAGUGCAUUUGUUUUCUGUGUAGUGAAAGUUGGCUCCUAGAUUUUGUAACUUAUUAAAGUCACUGUCUAUGUCUGCACAUCAUGCCUCGUCUGUUUGUUACCCGGACUGGGCUGCCCCUCAGCCCCAGCCUGGACGUGGGCAGGCGGGAGGAUGCACUGCGGUCGCAAGGCCAAGAGGUUUGGGGGCCACGGCGGGCACAGAGCCACGGCUGCUCCAGGCAGGACCCUGGGAAGGGCAAGAGGCACCCGAGGGACCGAACUCGCCCCGGCUCCUGGGAAGCCGGCCGUCCAGGCGACACAACUUAGCCAGCAGUUCCCAAGUGAACCUCCUGCCUGAUCACAGCCACCUCUCCUAUAAUGAGG